rnacentral:lncRNA from 1 species
AAAAAAAAAACUUUAAACAUUCAUUUUAAACAUUCAACAGAAAAAAAAAGAGAGCUUCAAAAUUCUCUCAGAGCUCCGGCCAGUGGCUAUCCUGGCUCGUCCCGGAGCACCACUGCCUUCGGCCACACGCGCUUCACGUGCCACCGUCUGAGCCACCGUGCCCGGCGAUUAGGGCUCUAAAAAAUUUCCUCUUUCUCUCACGAAUCAACAGGUAACCCUUAUACUCAUUUCUAACACUAUUUACAUGCAAAGAAAAAAUAACGAUAAAGAAGGAAAUAAAGCAAAUAAAUCACCGUUGCUUUUUGGUAUGAAAACUGCUUGUAUUUUUAGUUUUUUUAUUUCUGUCGAUAUAUGCGUAAAAAAACCUCUCCCUACAUCGUUCUAAUUUGGGCUUUUUAUAGCCACUGGGAAUUUGAAAAUAAAUGUUACAAAAUCUAGUUUUAUUCCCUGCCAUAUUAGUUUUGAUUCUGUGCCGUUUUCCUUCCUUUUGCAGGUCUAAACGCGACGAUUGCGACGGAGGCGAGGGCAUGCUGAUUCAGGACUUUGAUUGCGGCGUAAAACGAGGCUGAUAUCGGCUGCGAUCAUGAGGGAGCUUGCGGCGCGAAUCCUAGCUAGGGUUUCAUAGAAGCUGAAACUCCUUAAGUCAGUUGGGCUAGCUGGGCUGUGUUUGUUUGUUGGGUCAAAAGGGUAUUUUGGGCCUGAUUUGGGUUGUGAGUUUAGGUAUGGGUGUAAUGGGUAUUUGGGUUAUAGUUCACGGGUAGAAUUUUUAGGUUUGAUUUUGGGUUUUAGUUUUUGGGCAGUGGUUAGUGGGUUUGUAUUUUGGGUUCUGUAAAAGGACUUAAAUGGACUGUUUAAUUUUAUUUUUUGUUUAAUUUUUAAUUUUUGUAAGGCCGGGCAAAAUAUAGGUUCUACAGGUGUAACAACCUAUUUUUUAGUGGUGUCAAAAAUAAUGGUUCUGGGACUACAAUUCCAAUGAGAGUCCAUAGAUAUAUUUAAUUAAUAUUUAUGAUUUAAAUAUAGUAUAAUAAUGAUUAGUGAUUUAAUAGAUUUAAUUAAUUGGUAAGUUAGUCAAGGUACCAACGGUGCAUACUGAAAAUCAAGUGGUUUUGGAGAAUGAGGUAUCAGGACCUCGUUUUUGUAAAC